rnacentral:rRNA from 1 species
UACAGAGGUCUCAAGCGUUGUUCGGAUUCAUUGGGCGUAAAGGGUGCGUAGGCGGGCGCGGUAAGUCGGGUGUGAAAUCUCGGAGCUUAACUCCGAAACUGCAUUCGAUACUACCGUGCUUGAGGACUGGAGAGGAGACUGGAAUUUACGGUGUAGCGGUGAAAUGCGUAGAUAUCGUAAGGAAGACCAGUGGCGAAGGCGGGUCUCUGGACAGUUCCUGACGCUGAGGCACGAAGGUCAGGGGAGCAAACGGG